UCAGAGGGCUGGACGAUCGCCGCGCCAGGCGCCGAAAGGCAGGCGGGGAGGAAAGUCCGGGCUCCACGGAUCAACGGUGCCGGGUAACGCCCGGCGGGGGCGACCCCAGGGAAAGUGCCACAGAAAGGAAACCGCCCGCGCAGCCUCUGGCGGCAAGGGCAAGGGUGAAAGGGUGCGGUAAGAGCGCACCGCGACUGCAGCAAUGCAGGCGGCAUGGUAAACCCCACCGGGAGCAAGACCGAAUAGGGGCGGCGCAUGGGCCAGAUCCGGCCUGGACCGCCCGGGUAGGUUGCUGGCGGCCGCACGCAAGUGCGGUCCUAGAGGAAUGAUCGUCCAACCCGUUCGCCGCAAGGUCCGGGCGGACAGAACCCGGCUUACAGGCCCUCUGACCUC
rnacentral:RNase_P_RNA from 2 species